rnacentral:rRNA from 1 species
AUUGAACGCUGGCGGCAUGCCUUACACAUGCAAGUCGAACGGCAGCACGGGGCAACCUGGUGGCGAGUGGCGAACGGGUGAGUAAUGCAUCGGAACGUACCUUUCAGUGGGGGAUAACGUAGCGAAAGUUACGCUAAUACCGCAUAUUCUGCGAGCAGGAAAGCAGGGGAUCGCAAGACCUUGCGCUGAUUGAGCGGCCGAUGUCAGAUUAGCUAGUUGGUGAGGUAAAGGCUCACCAAGGCGACGAUCUGUAGCGGGUCUGAGAGGAUGAUCCGCCACACUGGAACUGGGACACGGUCCAGACUCCUACGGGAGGCAGCAGUGGGGAAUUUUGGACAAUGGGGGCAACCCUGAUCCAGCCAUGCCGCGUGAGUGAAGAAGGCCUUCGGGUUGUAAAGCUCUUUCGGCCGGGAAGAAAUCGCACGGGCUAAUACCCUGUGUGGAUGACGGUACCGGAAUAAGAAGCACCGGCUAACUACGUGCCAGCCGCCGCGGUAAAAC